rnacentral:rRNA from 1 species
UGGGGAAUAUUGCACAAUGGGCGCAAGCCUGAUGCAGCGACGCCGCGUGAGGGAUGGAGGCCUUCGGGUUGUAAACCUCUUUCGCCAGUGAAGCAGGCCAUCUUCUUUGUGGGGUGGUUGACGGUAGCUGGAUAAGAAGCGCCGGCUAACUACGUGCCAGCAGCCGCGGUAAUACGUAGGGCGCGAGCGUUGUCCGGAAUUAUUGGGCGUAAAGAGCUCGUAGGCGGCUGGUCGCGUCUGUCGUGAAAUCCCCUGGCUUAACUGGGGGCUUGCGGUGGGUACGGGCCGGCUUGAGUGCGGUAGGGGAGACUGGAAUUCCUGGUGUAGCGGUUGAAUGCGCAGAUAUCAGGAGGAACACCGGUGGCGAAGGCGGGUCUCUGGGCCGUUACUGACGCUGAGGAGCGAAAGCGUGGGGAGCGAACAGG